CGGCGAUGAUUAAGUUUAGUUUUAUCCGCGCUUCUGAGAGCCAAUCAGUGAAGCAUAUUUACGGUAAAAAUGGUUAAAAUUCUUUAUAUGAGCCA